CAGCACCUCAAGUGGUCAGGAUGAUUAUUGGGCCUAAAGCAUCCGUAGCUUGCUUUGUAAGUUCUCGGUUAAAUCCAUGCGCUUAACGUAUGGGCUGCCGGCAAUACUGCAAAGCUAGGGAGUGGGAGAGGUAGACGGUACUCGGUAGGAAGGGGUAAAAUCCUUUGAUCUAUUGAUGACCACCUGUGGCGAAGGCGGUCUACCAGAACACGUCCGACGGUGAGGGAUGAAAGCUGGGGGAGCAAACCGGAUUAGAUACCCGGGUAGUCCCAGCUGUAAACUAUGCAAACUCAGUGAUGCAUUGGCUUGUGGCCAAUGCAGUGCUGCAGGGAAGCCGUUAAGUUUGCCGCCUGGGAAGUACGUACGCAAGUAUG
rnacentral:rRNA from 1 species